GUGCUGCUUCUGAUCUGAAACCUCCUGGAAUAGAUCCUCCUGAAUGUACCAGGUCAGAAAGAAAAGGACAGAGGAUCUGAUAGCAGGUUGGCAGAGCAGGG